rnacentral:tRNA from 1 species
GCCACUUUGGCGCAGUCCGGUAGCGCUCCCGCCUUGUAAGCGGAUGGUCGGGGGUUCGAUUCCCUCAAGUGGCU